GUGUUGUAUGAAAGGAGAGAAGGUUAGCACUCCCCUUGACAAGGAUGGAGGAGGCCCUCGGGCCUUACAACAUACAUAACGGAGAAUACACUAUAACAUUAUAAUUAUUCUAAGGAGACUUU